AGGACGAACGCUGGCGGCGUGCCUAACACAUGCAAGUCGAGCGAGGAGAUCCUUCGGGAUGAUCCUAGCGGCGGACGGGUGAGUAACACGUGGGCAACCUGCCUCAUAGAGAGGAAUAGCCUUCCGAAAGGGAGAUUUAAUACCUCAUAACAUUGCAGUUUCGCAUGGAACAGCAAUUAAAGGAGUAAUCCGCUAUGAGAUGGGCCCGCGGCGCAUUAGCUAGUUGGUGAGGUAACGGCUCACCAAGGCGACGAUGCGUAGCCGACCUGAGAGGGUGAUCGGCCACAUUGGGACUGAGACACGGCCCAGACUCCUACGGGAGGCAGCAGUGGGGAAUAUUGCACAAUGGGGGAAACCCUGAUGCAAGCAACGCCGCGUGAGUGAUGACGGCCUUCGGGUUGUAAAGCUCUGUCUUCAGGGACGAUAAUGACGGUACCUGAGGAGGAAGCCACGGCUAACUACGUGCCAGCCGCAGC
rnacentral:rRNA from 1 species